GCGGAAGUGGCGGAAUUGGCAGACGCGCAAGGUUGAGGGCCUUGUGGGAGCAAUCUCGUAAGGGUUCAAGUCCCUGCUUCCGCACCA
rnacentral:tRNA from 1 species